rnacentral:tRNA from 1 species
GGCGGGUUGCCCGAGUGGCCAAAGGGAACGGUCUGUAAAACCGUCGGCGUACGCCUACGCUGGUUCGAACCCAGCACCCGCCACCA